UGAUUGUAGCCAGGGUGAGAGAGAGUGCAUUGACAUGAAAGAUGAGAGAAACUGGGAUUUUCGCUUCACAGCAGCAACAGUUAAAGGGAGAUCAGAUCAACGUGUUCAAAAGCAAAAUGAGGAGGAACAGUUUCCAGCAGAAGACAAUCCAAAUACGAUGAAAACACGGCUGUAAAAUUUCCUAGGACAAAAUACAGGCAGAGACCUGUCUGCUGCAAACUUGGAAUUCUUCAACAUCAAGCAAGCAAUUCUCAAAGGAAUACCAACAUUGAAAAAUAA